AUUGAACGCUGGCGGCAGGCUUAACACAUGCAAGUCGAGCGGGGACUUCGGUCCUAGCGGCGAACGGGUGAGGAAUGCUUGGGAAUCUGCCCAGUAGCGGGGGAUAACGUUUCGAAAGGAACGCUAAUACCGCAUACGCCCUACGGGGGAAAGGGGGGGAUCUUCGGACCUCUCACUAUUGGAUGAGCCCAAGUCGGAUUAGCUAGUUGGUGGGGUAAAGGCCUACCAAGGCGACGAUCCGUAGCUGGUCUGAGAGGAUGAUCAGCCACAAUGGAACGGAGACACGGUCCAGACUCCUACGGGAGGCAGCAGUGGGGAAUAUUGGACAAUGGGCGAAAGCCUGAUCCAGCCAUGCCGCGUGUGUGAAGAAGGCCUUCGGGUUGUAAAGCACUUUAAGCGAGGAGGAAUGGCUCUUGGUUAAUAACCUUGGGCAGUGACGUUACUCGCAGAAUAAGCACCGGCUAACUCUGUGCCAGCCGCCGCGGUAAAAC
rnacentral:rRNA from 1 species